rnacentral:rRNA from 1 species
GACGAACGCUGGCGGCGUGCUUAACACAUGCAAGUCGAACGGAAAGGCCCUGCUUUUGUGGGGUGCUCGAGUGGCGAACGGGUGAGUAACACGUGAGUAACCUGCCCUUGACUUUGGGAUAACUUCAGGAAACUGGGGCUAAUACCGGAUAGGAGCUCCUGCUGCAUGGUGGGGGUUGGAAAGUUUCGGCGGUUGGGGAUGGACUCGCGGCUUAUCAGCUUGUUGGUGGGGUAGUGGCUUACCAAGGCUUUGACGGGUAGCCGGCCUGAGAGGGUGACCGGCCACAUUGGGCCUGAGAUACGGCCCGGACUCCUACGGGAGGCAGCAGUGGGGAAUAUUGCACAAUGGGCGGAAGCCUGAUGCAGCAACGCCGCGUGCGGGAUGACGGCCUUCGGGUUGGAAACCGCUUUCGCCUGUGACGAAGCGUGAGUGACGGUAAUGGGUAAAGAAGCACCGGCUAACUCCGU